rnacentral:rRNA from 1 species
UAGGGAAUCUUCCGCAAUGGGCGAAAGCCUGACGGAGCAACGCCGCGUGAGUGAUGAAGGUCUUCGGAUCGUAAAACUCUGUUAUUAGGGAAGAACAAAUGUGUAAGUAACUAUGCACGUCUUGACGGUACCUAAUCAGAAAGCCACGGCUAACUACGUGCCAGCAGCCGCGGUAAUACGUAGGUGGCAAGCGUUAUCCGGAAUUAUUGGGCGUAAAGCGCGCGUAGGCGGUUUUUUAAGUCUGAUGUGAAAGCCCACGGCUCAACCGUGGAGGGUCAUUGGAAACUGGAAAACUUGAGUGCAGAAGAGGAAAGUGGAAUUCCAUGUGUAGCGGUGAAAUGCGCAGAGAUAUGGAGGAACACAGUGGCGAAGGCGACUUUCUGGUCUGUAACUGACGCUGAUGUGCGAAAGCGUGGGGAUCAAACAGG